rnacentral:lncRNA from 1 species
UAUGGGAGAGAGAAAGAAGGUAAAUUUAAAGAGAAAAUCUAGUGUGAUAAGGAUUAAUGAUAUCAUGCACACUUAUUUAAUCUAAUGGCUAAAAUAAAUGGUUCACCGGUGAGGGACUUAAUUGAGCCCUCACCUUAGAGAUAAUAAUUUUUAAAGAUAAUAAUUUGUAAUUUGGCUAAAAUAAUUUUUUGGAGUUCUUUGAAGUUUUGUUUUGGUGGAAUGAGUUCUCUAAAGAUAAUAAUAAUAAUUUUAUUUUUUGAAAAAAAAAACACAAAAUUCUAAAUAAACAAAAUAUAGAUUUACAAAUGAAAAAUACCCCGUCAUAAAGAAAAUACAAACUUGCCGUCCGCCGCCUUAUCUUGCCGGAGCUCCACCGCCUCUGUAAUUUACAGAUAUUCAACGUUGGUAUAGAUUUGUUGUUUGUUCAUUAAUUUUUUGAGAUCUUGUUCGCUGCAAUUUAUCUAUUCAACUUUGCUAAAAAUCCCUAAAUGUUGGUUUCAGGAUUUUGCAAUGGAAUGGAUCGGUGGAUCUUGUCAUUGAUUCUUCAGAUCUUGUAGGUUCCAUCGCCAAGCAUUGAACUGAUGAUGAUGAUGAUGAUAAUGAUAAUGAUAAGGGAACAAUAGAAAAGAAUGUUAGUAGUGUUGAUAUUAUGGGUUCAAACCAAGAUGAGAGUGUUGUG